rnacentral:ncRNA from 1 species
CAGUCGUCCUAACUGGUAACGGUUAGUGAUAAUUAUCGGGUGAAUUGCUGGAAACCCAUAAGAGCUUUUCUUGCCACAACGUAGUUGGAAACGACAGGCGUGAAGGUCCAAAAAAAGAAAAGAUUUGGCAAUCAGCAGCCAAGCUCCUGUUCCGAAAGGAUGGAGAAGGUUCAACGACUAGGAUAAACCAUCUAAGGCAAAUGCUAUGAUGAUGAAAUCCGUAGGUGAAACAAUGUACAUCAGCAUUGUGAAUCCGAAGUGCCCGACCCCUACAUUAGAGGGUGAAGAUAUAGUCUGGUCAUUUGUGAAAGCAAAUG